AGAUUGAACGCUGGCGGCAGGCCUAACACAUGCAAGUCGAGCGGCAGCACGGGUACUUGUACCUGGUGGCGAGCGGCGGACGGGUGAGUAAUGCCUAGGAAUCUGCCUGGUAGUGGGGGAUAACGCUCGGAAACGGACGCUAAUACCGCAUACGUCCUACGGGAGAAAGCAGGGGACCUUCGGGCCUUGCGCUAUCAGAUGAGCCUAGGUCGGAUUAGCUAGUUGGUGGGGUAAUGGCUCACCAAGGCGACGAUCCGUAACUGGUCUGAGAGGAUGAUCAGUCACACUGGAACUGAGACACGGUCCAGACUCCUACGGGAGGCAGCAGUGGGGAAUAUUGGACAAUGGGCGAAAGCCUGAUCCAGCCAUGCCGCGUGUGUGAAGAAGGUCUUCGGAUUGUAAAGCACUUUAAGUUGGAGGAAGGCAGUUACCUAAUACGUAUCUGUUUUGACGUUACCGACAAGAAUAAGCACCGGCUAACUCUGUGCCAGCA
rnacentral:rRNA from 1 species